AACAGAUUUACUUCGUGUAAUGACGUUAGGAAAGCGAGCGGCGGAUGGGUGAGUAACACGUGGGGAACCUGCCCCAUAGUCUGGGAUACCACUUGUAUACAGGCGCUCAUACCGGAUAAGAAAGCAGAUCGCAUGAUCAGCUUUUAAAAGGCGGCGUAAGCUGUCGCUAUGGGAUGGCCCCGCGGUGCAUUAGCUAGUUGGUAAGGUAAAGGCUUACCAAGGUGAUGAUGCAUAGCCGAGUUGAGAGACUGAUCGGCCACAUUGGGACUGAGACACGGCGCGAGCUCCUACGGGAGGCAGCAGUAGGGAAUCUUCCACAAUGGACGCAAGUCUGAUGGGAGCAACGCCGCGUGAGUGAAGAAGGUUUUCGGAUCGUAAAGCUCUGUUGUUGGGUGAA
rnacentral:rRNA from 1 species